rnacentral:rRNA from 1 species
AAGUCGCGAGGCUAAGCUAAUCUCUUAAAGCUUCUCUCAGUUCGGAUUGUAGGCUGCAACUCGCCUACAUGAAGCCGGAAUCGCUAGUAAUCGCGGAUCAGCACGCCGCGGUGAAUACGUUCCCGGGCCUUGUACACACCGCCCGUCACACCACGAGAGUUUGUAACACCCGAAGUCGGUGAGGUAACCUUUUUGGAGCCAGCCGCCUAAGGUGGGAUAGAUGAUUGGGGUGAAGUCGUAACAAGGUAGCCGUAUCGGAAGGUGCGGCUGGAUCACCUCCUUU